UACGAAGGGGGCUAGCGUUGCUCGAAUCACUGGGCGUAAAGGGUGCGUAGGCGGGUCUUUAAGUCAGGGGUGAAUCCCAGAGCUCAACUCUGGAACUGCCUUUGAUACUGGGUGUCUUGAGUAUGGAAGAGGUGAGUGGAAUUCCGAGUGUAGAGGUGAAAUUCGUAGAUAUUCGCAAGAACACCGGUGGCGAAGGCGGCCAACUGGGACCAUACUUGACGCGAGGCGCGAAAGCGUGGGGAGCAAACAGG
rnacentral:rRNA from 1 species